UUUACUUGGGAAGAAGUGAAAUACGAAGUGACUUCGAAAAAGUUACAUUUGCAUUUUAACUCGUUAAAAAGCGAACAUCCCAGCUUUCUAUAUGGAGCGUCACUUGUUCUUUACUCGUACAAGCUGACACUUUACUCCGGAUUCACAAGUGAAACGUUUUUUUCGGAACUGAUUAGGCUCAAACUAAUGCAAGGCAAACUUGCGAUGUAAUUAGUGUCUCUCUGUGUCUCAUGGGAACUUUUUUCGGAACUGAAGGGCAUGUUCAGAAAUCACUCAAACAGAACGCGUAUUUCUUAUGGACGUAUACGAUGCUAAAGCGGAAUUUGGUUGCUAUAGAAAAACUCCUUCUGUCGAUAUAAGUCCGCCAUUCGAACAUAUUUGAUUAUAUAUGUAGCUCGGUGCAAUGUUGGAGAUAUACCUAAAUACUUUUAAACAGUAUGUACCAAGGUACUUUUAAAUAUUAAUAGCUUCGUCCCAGGCAGAUUAUUCCACCACCCACCAUCCGUUGAACGAUCGGUUUAUAGGUUUUUGCCGCUUCGAAAAUAUCCCAUUUUGUUCCCCAACCAAAUUUGACAGACUCUUUUAUGCGAUAGUUAGGCGAUGUUUUUUCG